rnacentral:rRNA from 1 species
GACCGUGCAAAGGUAGCAUAAUCAUUAGCCUUUUAAUUGAAGGCUUGUAUGAAUGGUUGGACAAAGAAAAAUCUGUCUUUAUAAUAUUAUUUGAAUUUAACUUUUAAGUGAAAAGGCUUAAAUUAACCAGGGGGACGAUAAGACCCUAUAAAACUUUAUAUAAAAUUAAGUUUGUUUAAAUUUAAUUAUUAAAAAUCUGAGUUAAUAAUUAUAUUUUGUUGGGGCGACAUAAAUAUAAAUAAUUAUAAUAACUGUUUGAAUAUAAUACUAUAAUUUAUGAGUUAUAAUUAUAAAUGGUCCUUAUUAAAGAUUAAAAGAUUAAGUUACUUUAGGGAUAACAGCGUAAUUUUUUUUGAGAGUUCAUAUCGAAAAAAAAGUUUGCGACCUCAUGUUGAAUUAAAAUAUCUAUAUAAUGUACUGUUAUAAAAGAAGGUCUGUUCGACCUUUAAAUUUUUACGUGAUCUGAUU